GACGUAGGGCGCGAGCGUUGUCCGGAUUUAUUGGGCGUAAAGAGCGUGUAGGCGGCCAGGUAGGUCUGCUGUGAAAACUCGAGGCUUAACCUCGAGCUGUCGGCGGAAACCAUCUGGCUAGAGUCCGGAAGAGGAGAAUGGAAUUCCCGGUGUAGCGGUGAAAUGCGCAGAUAUCGGGAAGAACACCCGUGGCGAAGGCGGUGCUCUGGGCCUUACCUGACGCUCAGGCGCGAAAGCUAGGGGAGCGAACUGG
rnacentral:rRNA from 1 species